rnacentral:rRNA from 1 species
CGGGUCUAGUGGCGCACGGGUGCGUAACGCGUGGGAAUCUGCCCUUAGGUUCGGAAUAACAGUUAGAAAUGACUGCUAAUACCGGAUGAUGUCUUCGGACCAAAGAUUUAUCGCCUAGGGAUGAGCCCGCGUCGGAUUAGCUAGUUGGUGGGGUAAAAGCCUACCAAGGCGACGAUCCGUAGCUGGUCUGAGAGGAUGAUCAGCCACACUGGGACUGAGACACGGCCCAG